UACGAAGGGGGCUAGCGUUGCUCGGAAUCACUGGGCGGAAAGCGCACGUAGGCGGAUUGUUAAGUCAGGGGUGAAAUCCUGGAGCUCAACUCCAGAACUGCCUUUGAUACUGGCGAUCUCGAGUCCGGGAGAGGUGAGUGGAACUGCGAGUGUAGAGGUGAAAUUCGUAGAUAUUCGCAAGAACACCAGUGGCGAAGGCGGCUCACUGGCCCGGUACUGACGCUGAGGUGCGAAAGCGUGGGGAGCAAACAGG
rnacentral:rRNA from 1 species